rnacentral:rRNA from 1 species
UACGUAGGUGGCAAGCGUUGUCCGGAAUUAUUGGGCGUAAAGCGCGCGCAGGUGGUUUCUUAAGUCUGAUGUGAAAGCCCACGGCUCAACCGUGGAGGGUCAUUGGAAACUGGGGAACUUGAGUGCAGGAGAGAAGAGUGGAAUUCCACGUGUAGCGGUGAAAUGCGUAGAGAUGUGGAGGAACACCAGUGGCGAAGGCGACUCACUGGACCACAACUGACGCUGAGGCGCGAAAGCUAGGGGAGCAAACAGG